AGCCUGGUGGUGUAAUGGUAACACGCCUGCUUUCCGUGGCACUGGGAAGAGGUUUCAGCAUGGGAUUCUUGUUCGGUUCAAGGCCAGGCCA